UACAGGGGGUGCAAGCGUUGCUCGGAAUACUGGGCGUAAAGCGAGCGCAGGCGGCCGAUUAAGUCAGAGGUGAAAGCCCGGGGCUCAACCCCGGAAAUGCCUUUGAAACUGGUAGGCUUGAAUGCAGGAGAGGGUCGCGGAAUUCGUUGGUGUAGAGGUGAAAUUCGUAGAGUAUACUCAGGAAGAACACCAGUGGCGGAAAGCGGC
rnacentral:rRNA from 1 species